rnacentral:rRNA from 1 species
UACGAAGGGGGCUAGCGUUAUCCGGAAUGAUUGGGCGUAAAGCGUCCGCAGGUGGCUGUGUAAGUCUGCUGUCAAAGAGCAAAGCUCAACUUUGUAAAGGCAGUGGAAACUACACGGCUAGAGUGCGUUCGGGGCAGAGGGAAUUCCUGGUGUAGCGGUGAAAUGCGUAGAGAUCAGGAAGAACACCGGUGGCGAAGGCGCUCUGCUAGGCCGCAACUGACACUGAGGGACGAAAGCUAGGGGAGCGAAUGGG